AUGAACGCUGGCGGCGUGCUUAAUAUAUGCAAGUCAAGGGGGCCCGCAAGGGCAACCGGCGGGACGGGUGAGUAACGCGUGAGAAUCUACCUCGAAGUGGGGCAUAGCCCUCCGAAGGAGGGGUAAUUCCCCAUGUGAUAGCAAUACCAAAGAUGUAAAUCGCUUUGAGAUGAGCUCACGUCCUAUCAGCUAGUUGGUGGGGUAAUGGCCUACCAAGGCAACGACGGGGUAGCUGGUCUGAGAGGAUGGUCAGCCACAAAGGAACUGAGACAUCGGUCCUUACACCUACGGGGUGGCGCAAGUAGGUACGGAAUCGUUGACAAUGGGCGAAAGCCUGAUCACGCGACGCCGCGUGGGGGAUUGAAGGCCUUCGGGUUGUAAACCCCUUUUGCAAAGGAAGAUUAUGACGGUACUUUGCGAAUAAGCACCUGCUAACUAACGUGCCAGAAGCCUCGGUAAGACGUAGGGUGCAAGCGUUAUCCGGAUUCAUUGGGCGUAAAGAGUUGCGUAGGCGGUCCGAUAGAUCUUAAUUUAAAGUCCAUGGCUCAACCAUGGUUUCGGUUAAGAUAUCAUCAGACUUGGGUAUUAGAGAGGGUACUGGAACUGAUCAUGAAGCAGUGAAAUGCGUUGAUAUGAUCAGGAACACCAAAGGCGUAGGCAGGGUACCUAGCUAAUCACCGACGCUGAGGCACGAAAGCAUGGGGAGCGAAGCAGAUUAGAGACCUGCGUAGUCCAUGCCGUAAACGAUCCUUGCUAGAUAGGAGUUCUUUUAUUUCUGUCGUAAGCUAACGCGUUAAGCAAGGCGCCUGGGAGUACGAACGCAAGUUUAAAACUCAAAGGAAUUGACGGGGAGGCGCACAAGCAGUGGAGCGUGUGGUUUAAUUCGAGACAAAGCGAAAAACCUCACCAGGGUUUGACAUGCAAUUGCUAAGCCUAUGAAAGUAGGCCUCCUUCGAGGGUAUUGCACAGAUGCUGCAUGGCUGUCGUCAGCUCGUGGCGUGAGCUGUACGGUUAAGUCCGGAAACGAGCGCAACCCGCAUUGUAUGUUAAAUAAUCAUGCAAAACAGCCCCCUUCUUGGGGGAGGAAGGCGCGGAUGACGUCAAGUCAGCACGGCUCUUACACCCUGGGCUACACACACCCUACAAUGGCGAAAAACAACGAGUUGCAAGUCGGGUAACGGCAAGCUAAUCUCUGAAAUUUCGCCUCAGUUCAGAUCGAGGUCUGCAACCUGACCUCGUGAAGUCGGAAUUGCUAGUAAUCGCGAAUCAGCAGGUCGCGGUGAAUACGUUCUCGCCUCUUGUACACACCGCCCGUCAAGGCAGCAAAGUUGGGGGCACCCGAACAUCCUUACAAGGGUGGAAGGUGAAACCAGCGAUGAAGCUU
rnacentral:rRNA from 1 species